rnacentral:lncRNA from 10 species
GAAAUAAGAAACUGAAGUAAAGGAAACAGGAAAUAAUAAAAAGAAAGGAUAGGGAAGAUGUUACAUUUAGGGGAAGCUGGGUGAAGAGUAGAAGAAACUUCUAUAUACUCUUUUUGCAAAUACUUGUGAAAGAGGAUAAAGAAGAAACUCAGGAGUAGUCUGUGAGGCAGAAGAAGAUCCAAGAAAGAGAAGUGUCCAGAAGACCAAAAAAAAGUAUUGCAAGGAGAAAGU